GCCUCUAUAGGAUAAGAGACCUAUCCGCUGGUCUUAGGAACCAGAAACUCUUGGUGCAAAUCCAAGUAGUGGCU
rnacentral:tRNA from 1 species